GCUAAACGCGAAGAACCUUACCCACACUUGACAUGUCCUCUUUUGGCUUUCAGAGAUGAUUGCCUUCGGUUCGGCCGGGGAGUGCACAGGUGCUGCAUGGCUGUCGUCAGCUCGUGUCGUGAGAUGUUGGGUUAAGUCCCGACAACGAGCGCAACCCUUAUCGUAUGUUGCCAGCAUUUAGUUGGGCACUCGUGCGAGACUGCCGGUGAUAAGCCGGAGGAAGGCGGGGACGACGUCAAGUCAUCAUGGCCCUUACGUGUGGGGCUAGAAACGUGCUACAAUGGGAGUGACAGUGAGCAGCAAGGUCGCGAGGCCAAGCUAAUCCCUAAAAGCAGUCUCAGUUCGGAUUGUCCUCUGCAACUCGAGGGCAUGAAGUUGGAAUCGCUAGUAAUCGUGGAUCAGCAUGCCACGGUGAAUACGUUCCCGGGUCUUGUACACACCG
rnacentral:rRNA from 1 species